rnacentral:rRNA from 1 species
UACGUAGGAGGCAAGCGUUGUCCGGAAUUACUGGGCGUAAAGCGCAUGUAGGUGGACUGUUAAGUUUGAUGUGAAAGCCCUGGGCUUAACCUGGGAAUGGCGUUGAAGACUGGCAGACUAGAGUCGGACAGAGGGCCGUGGAAUUUCCGGUGUAGCGGUGAAAUGCGUAGAGAUCGGAAAGAACACCAGUGGCGAAGGCGGCGGCCUGGGUCCAAACUGACACUGAGGUGCGAAAGCGUGGGGGAGCAAACAGG